AAUAUGGCAUUGAUUAGGAGAGUAGACUUGUUGAUGUUUUUAGAGAAGGACUGUCACCGGCUGAAAGCAGUCCCAAACUAGAUUACAGGUUGAAGUGCACCUAUAAGUCUAAGGCUGAAAUAUACAUGCAAAAGUAGGUCUUACGGGUAGCUCCGUUAAAGGCUAUUUGAGAGAGAUGUUAUUACGUCUAAUCAGAGUGGAACCGCGGAUAUUCCCCGUCUCUGGA
rnacentral:ncRNA from 1 species